AAACUAUAUGAAAAGGAAACUUAAUAUAUUUUAUUUGUUGCAUGUACGAUUUUCAUUGGAAAAGUAAGAUCACUCCAUUUAUUCAUCGAAAUUAUUCUAAAUAUUGUAGUUAGGUUCUGUUUGUUUCUUUAUCCAGAUGGAUUAUUUGGAUGGAGAUGAAAAAUGAUGUUUGUUUUUGAUAAAUUAACAGAUCAUUUGGAUGAACCAUUUGGAUGGUCCAUCUGAAUGACUUUGUAAAUUUAGGCUAAUUUGUGAAAUUCAUUUGGAUGGACUUGGUAGAAUCAUUUGGAUGGAGAUGAUUUAGUCCAAAAACAAAUGACAAAUAUACCCUCUUUUAAUAAUGUUAAUUUUCGAUAGAUUUCUUAUUUAAUAUAUUUUUUAAAAUUACCUAUUGUACUAAAAAAACUCUAAAAAUUGUGAAAUCACAGACUAUCAUUUUACGUCAAAAUUAUAAUUUGUUUUUCCCGCCAAAAUCGCAAAAUCAUAUUUUCCGCCAAAGCCGCAAAAAUCAUAUUUUCCCGCCAAAACCGCAAAAUCAUAUUUUCCCGCCAAAACCGUAAAAUCAUAUUUUCUCGCCAAAAUCGUAAAAUCGUUAGAUGGUUGUGUUCGAAUGAUUUCAUGUAUUAUGUAACACUUUUGUGAUAUAAUAUAACUGAUUUGUUGUUAAACAAAA
rnacentral:sRNA from 1 species